CACUUUAAUGGGACUGCCGGUGAACAAACCGGAGGAAGGUGGGGAUGACGUCAAGUCCUCAUGGCCCUUAUGGGCCAGGGCUUCACACGUAAUACAAUGGUCGGUACAGAGGGUUGCCAACCCGCGAGGGGGAGCCAAUCCCAGAAAGCCGAUCGUAGUCCGGAUUGUAGUCUGCAACUCGACUACAUGAAGUCGGAAUCGCUAGUAAUCGCGGAUCAGCAUGUCGCGGUGAAUACGUUCCCGGGCCUU
rnacentral:rRNA from 1 species